rnacentral:rRNA from 1 species
GAUGAACGCUGGCGGCGUGCCUAAUACAUGCAAGUCGAGCGAACAGACGAGGAGCUUGCUCCUCUGACGUUAGCGGCGGACGGGUGAGUAACACGUGGAUAACCUACCUAUAAGACUGGGAUAACUUCGGGAAACCGGAGCUAAUACCGGAUAAUAUAUUGAACCGCAUGGUUCAAUAGUGAAAGACGGUUUUGCUGUCACUUAUAGAUGGAUCCGCGCCGCAUUAGCUAGUUGGUAAGGUAACGGCUUACCAAGGCGACGAUGCGUAGCCGACCUGAGAGGGUGAUCGGCCACACUGGAGCUGAGACACGGUCCAGACUCCUACGGGAGGCAGCAGUAGGGAAUCUUCCGCAGUGGGCGAAAGCCUGACGGAGCAACGCCGCGUGAGUGAUGAAGGUCUUCGGAUCGUAAAACUCUGUUAUUAGGGAAGAACAAAUGUGUAAGUAACUAUGCACGUCUUGACGGUACCUAAUCAGAAAGCCACGGCUAACUACGUG